GUCCGCCUUUGGUGUGCAUU
rnacentral:siRNA from 1 species